rnacentral:rRNA from 1 species
AGACCCGAAACCCGGUGAUCUAGCCAUGGGCAGGUUGAAGGUUGGGUAACACUAACUGGAGGACCGAACCGACUAAUGUUGAAAAAUUAGCGGAUGACUUGUGGCUGGGGGUGAAAGGCCAAUCAAACCGGGAGAUAGCUGGUUCUCCCCGAAAGCUAUUUAGGUAGCGCCUCGUGAAUUCAUCUCCGGGGGUAGAGCACUGUUUCGGCAAGGGGGUCAUCCCGACUUACCAACCCGAUGCAAACUGCGAAUACCGGAGAAUGUUAUCACGGGAGACACACGGCGGGUGCUAACGUCCGUCGUGAAGAGGGAAACAACCCAGACCGCCAGCUAAGGUCCCAAAGUCAUGGUUAAGUGGGAAACGAUGUGGGAAGGCCCAGACAGCCAGGAUGUUGGCUUAGAAGCAGCCAUCAUUUAAAGAAAGCGUAAUAGCUCACUGGUCGAGUCGGCCUGCGCGGAAGAUGUAACGGGGCUAAACCAUGCACCGAAGCUGCGGCAGCGACACUAUGUGUUGUUGGGUAGGGGAGCGUUCUGUAAGCCUGUGAAGGUGUACUGUGAGGUAUGCUGGAGGUAUCAGAAGUGCGAAUGCUGACAUAAGUAACGAUAAAGCGGGUGAAAAGCCCGCUCGCCGGAAGACCAAGGGUUCCUGUCCAACGUUAAUCGGGGCAGGGUGAGUCGACCCCUAAGGCGAGGCCGAAAGGCGUAGUCGAUGGGAAACAGGUUAAUAUUCCUGUACUUGGUGUUACUGCGAAGGGGGGACGGAGAAGGCUAUGUUGGCCGGGCGACGGUUGUCCCGGUUUAAGCGUGUAGGCUGGUUUUCCAGGCAAAUCCGGAAAAUCAAGGCUGAGGCGUGAUGACGAGGCACUACGGUGCUGAAGCGACAAAUGCCCUGCUUCCAGGAAAAGCCUCUAAGCAUCAGGUAACAUCAAAUCGUACCCCAAACCGACACAGGUGGUCAGGUAGAGAAUACCAAGGCGCUUGAGAGAACUCGGGUGAAGGAACUAGGCAAAAUGGUGCCGUAACUUCGGGAGAAGGCACGCUGAUAUGUAGGUGAAGCGACUUGCUCGUGGAGCUGAAAUCAGUCGAAGAUACCAGCUGGCUGCAACUGUUUAUUAAAAACACAGCACUGUGCAAACACGAAAGUGGACGUAUACGGUGUGACGCCUGCCCGGUGCCGGAAGGUUAAUUGAUGGGGUUAGCGGUAACGCGAAGCUCUUGAUCGAAGCCCCGGUAAACGGCGGCCGUAACUAUAACGGUCCUAAGGUAGCGAAAUUCCUUGUCGGGUAAGUUCCGACCUGCACGAAUGGCGUAAUGAUGGCCAGGCUGUCUCCACCCGAGACUCAGUGAAAUUGAACUCGCUGUGAAGAUGCAGUGUACCCGCGGCAAGACGGAAAGACCCCGUGAACCUUUACUAUAGCUUGACACUGAACAUUGAGCCUUGAUGUGUAGGAUAGGUGGGAGGCUUUGAAGUGUGGACGCCAGUCUGCAUGGAGCCGACCUUGAAAUACCACCCUUUAAUGUUUGAUGUUCUAACGUGGGCCCCUUACCGGGGUUGCGGACAGUGUCUGGUGGGUAGUUUGACUGGGGCGGUCUCCUCCUAAAGAGUAACGGAGGAGCACGAAGGUUGGCUAAUCCUGGUCGGA